GAUUUUCUCGAUGUCACAUUUUAUCAUAAUGUCAAGUGGGAGGAUCUUUGGCGUAAAGAAUCACUCAACUGUGUUUGUCUCCACUUUGCUGUAGAACUGCAACAGCGAGACGAGGGACGAGCAGCAGAAACCUGCAGGUCAGGACAGAUUAACAACAGGGAUUAAUGGACACCGCAUUUUUGAGUUAAUGAUGAAAUAAACUUAUAAUUAUGUUUUUCUGUUUUUCGAGUAGCAGCAGGUACUAGUAACGUUUCUAUUAUUGUCUUUAUGUGACAAUCUAACAAGAAGAGGAAGUAAAUGAGGUUGACUUACGGGGGUAAAGUGUAUAGUAUAAGUGUAAAGUAUAUAUAGUAUGUCUAAUCAGUACAGUUGAUCGUUUGUGUUUUUUUAUCUGAUUGGUUGGUGAUGCUCUCUCUUCACCAACAGGUGGAGCUCCAACACCAUUCACACAAGUAUAAGAGCGUUUUGUCUUCUUUGUUGUUGAUGCCCACUUAUAGUAAUAUAUAGAAUAAUCUUACAUGGGUGUUUGGAAUUAACCAUGAGAGAAACUGGGAAUAAUUGUGCCUGACAAAUUGUUUUGCUUGUUUAAUUUUGUUUUAUACUGUAUAGGCUACAAGCUCUGACAAUCAGGGAUUUUCAGUGAUGGCUUUUCAAAAUCCUUGCUCAAAGUGUGGCCAGCACCUUCAGUCUCACCCAGUUGAGACUGCACCAGAAGUUGUGAAGAAUAAUGAUAAUGGGUCUUCUAAGGAUGUUAAGAAACAGGCUACUAGAAACUCUGACACUCAGGAAUCUUUAGUGGCUUCUCAGGAUUCUUGCUUACACUGUGGCCAUCACCUUCAACCUCACCCACAUCAGACUGCAAGAGAAGUAGUCAAGAAUAAUUACAUGAGAUUCUCUAGUGAGGAUUUGAACCAGGCUGCAAGAAACUCUGACACUCAGGAAUCUUUAGAGCCUUCUCAGGAUUCUUGCUCAUGCUGUGGCCAUCACCUCCAACCUCACCCACAUCAGACUGCAAGAGAAGUAGUCAAGAAUAAUUAUAUGGCAUACUCUCGUGAGGAUUUGAAACACGUAAUAAUAAAAAAAACGUGUAUUAUUAUUUGA
rnacentral:lncRNA from 1 species